rnacentral:lncRNA from 1 species
CUGAGGGAAUGUUCAUGGGACUCUUUGUGAGGCUAAUCCUGGAGCACCAGGACAUUCCAAGGGGCCAAUCUGCCCAAGUUCAUUGCUUACUUGAAAUGUCUCUGGGGGAAGAGCCUGGCAAGUGACUUUUUUUCCAGUGGGCGGUCAUCCGAGCAUUAUUAACGGGAUGGCCAGCCCCAGUCACAGCAAAAUGAAAGCAGCACAAGCCGUGCAGGGGGACUGCCUUGCUACCAGCCAGAGUCAGAGCACAGGCUCAGAAAUCCUGGAUUGAAAGAGCAUUUUAUAAAAGAGAAUGUGUUCACAUCAUACCGAGCACCAAAGACCCCCAUAGGUGUUGCUGUGGACGCCUCAUAGGCCAGCAUGUUGGACUCACUCCCAGUAUCUCUGUGCUUCAGAAUGAGAAAAAUGAGAGUCGCCUCUCCCGAAAUGACAUCCAGUCUGAGAAGUGGUCUAUCAGCAAACACACUCAGCUCAGCCCAACAGACGCUUUUGGGACCAUUGAGUUCCAAGGAGGUGGCCAUUCCAACAAAGCUAUGGUAAUUUGAAAGACAGUUACUCAUUCCCAGACAUAGUGUCACAUCCUGUAAAUGAAUAGCUGAGAGCCUGGGUUGUAGGUUUCAGGCUAGCCUGGCCUCUGUCACUUCCCUGUAGAGUGUCUAUAAAAUAGGAAAAGAAAACCUCCCCUAGGACUUUUAAGUGAUUAGCAUGAGAUCAGAUGAUUAACUGAUUUUUAUUCUGGUUAAUAUGUAUCAUUGUAUAUGACCAUGCGGUUCAAUGUUGUUUCCAUAUGUGGGUACACAGGCAUUGACCAAAUCUACCACUUCUUUAUUCCCCUGCCUCCUACACCUUUAUCAUCUUUUUUCAACCACUCUUACACUCAGAUCCACUGCUCUCUGGCUUUCACAUAUGAGGAAAAAGGCGGUACUUGCCUUUUUAAAUCUGGAAUAUUUUCUACAGUUUUUUAUUUUAUUUAUUUUUUUUUUUUACAGUUUGCAAUGUUAUUUUCUGUGUCUCAUCUACUUAGCCUUUUUCUAAAUCCUUUAUCCUAGCUUUGGAGAGAAAAAGAAUGUUUCCUUUAGGUUUCUGUUUUGUUUUCUUGGCCACAUUUCCCAGGCUGUUUCCUGCCUGGUCUUGACAGAGAUCUGAGAAUCCACAUCAGGUACAUUUUCUCCAAGCAGCUAGGCUAGUGAGAGUCUCAAUGGAAAAGGAAAAUAUCGAGGAAUUUGUAAACAUAUAAAAUUUUUGUCAUGUCGAAACUAUAGUUCCCAUGAAAUACUCUUGAGGUGACUCACAGACUUUUCAAAGAAUAAAACGGAUAACAUGUGUUCUGAGACUUCUGGAAAUUUUAUAGUUCAGCAAGCUUGCUUCUGGUUGUUGAACGAGUUAGAUAAUAGGUGUGAGGUAUCUGCAUGACACAGGACAUGUCAGUGGGUGUGAACUAGUUUAGCUGGCAUUAUUAAUAUUCUCAUUUCCCCCAGGCUCUAAAAGAAAUUGAAAAGGCAUUUAACUCAUCCUUUAAAGGAUAUUCCUUUGAUGUAGGACUCUAUUAGUUCAUAUACUUUAAUUUACAUUUUCAGUCAAUACUUGUAUAUAAUUCUGAAAGGUCAAACUCUGUUGCUUUCUUGCUUACCUUGGAAUAGAAAUCUAUUGGCAUUUUAUUCAGAGCCUGGUGCUGUCACUUGAUGGUUGGGUGACUGUCCAAUUGAAGCUUAGUGCCUUAAUUUUCUUGAGUGUAAAAAUGGGGUAGUAACUUCUACUUCGGAAGACUGUCUUAGGAAUUAACAGCAGUACCCAUGUGUGUUAAGAGCUUUGAAUGAUGCCUGAUACUAAAAUUAACAGAAGGUUUGCUCAGAGGGAAACUCUAUAAUCAAUCAAAAUAAAUGUAUGCUCUUGAAGUCACAGGACUAGGU